UUCAAAGUCCUCAUGUGUGCAGGGACAUAUUUCCUGAGUUUAUAAACAUAAUAUACAUUUAAAAAAACAAAAAAAGUUGUUGUGAUGCCAAAAAAUAUGAACGUAAUCAUAGUAGUACCGACUGGAUACGCUCAUGUACUUGGUAUCAUUACAGUGGAUUUUAGGUGUAGAUCCACCAAUGGCGUUUUUUCAGAUUUUGACACCGGUAAGCUACGGUGUGUAGUGAAGCAUGUUUAGCUAUUCCUCGUCCUGCAGGGAUGAUACUUGUAAGAAACUUAUGGACUUUAGCCACUAGCUAGCUAGCCAUGUCUUAAAGCACCUCUUCCUGAGGGCGUUUCAGUGUUAUAGCUUCACCUUAGCCAAAAUGCAUCCGUUUCACCCUUUUCUGUCUACACACUGUGUCUGCUUGUAAGUACUCUGUGAUUGUGCGCUGCCGAACAUGCUCGCAAACCAGCAAUGAUGCGACGUGACAACGAUGAGGGAGCCAGGUGGUGGGGGACCGGUACUUUUCAGAGGCGGUAUAGUACUGAAUAUGAUUCAUUAGUACCGCGGUUCUAUACUAUUACCGGUAUACCGUACAACCCCAGUUCAAAGUCGUGGUUAUAGCCUGGAAAUUUCGGUAACCUGCCCAACUCUACCUGGUUUACAUAUUACUUAUGCAAGAAACACUUGCCUCUUACUAAUGAAUUUGUACUUUGUUGACACUUGUUAUUUACUCAUUGACCUGGUCAGUCAAAACAGACGAGUAUUAUCUCCAUAAAGGUAGAGAUGGUAUCGUGUAUUAACUCUUAAUUGUGCAGGUGUACCUAACGUUGUAGCAGGUGAGUGUUUUUUUUUUUCUUCCUUUUUGAGCUUUGCAGUGAAACAUCAGUGGCACAACCUCCCAGGCAUGAGGAAUCUGUCAAAUUGCUGUCAACUAUGCGCUGCUUUGUCAUGAGACCACAAAGCACUGGAAACACGAGCCGCUGAAGCUGUUACAUCAGACCAAAGGGCCAAGACGCUGACAUCACACGGACACACAAUCACAUCACCAGCGGACGCGGGUUACGGAUUUUUCCGUGGUCCGGGUGAAGCGAAGUGAACAAUCAAGCUGAACGGAUCCAAACUGGAUUGAAAAUGAAAAAAAAAAAAAAAAAAAAAAAUUAAAAAAAAAAAAAAAAAAAAAAAAAAAAGAACAGGAGUCUGCUGGAUGUGCGCAAGAAAAAAGAUCACACAGAAUAUUGAUAAUACAAUCGAUUUAUUACGGGUUGUUUGGAGCAGGUGGUUUCACUGGAGUUGGUGUGCUUCGUCAAACUGUAGUAGACGGGGUGUGUCAGUUGGUCAACGAAAAAAAAAAAAAUGAAAAAAAAAAAAAAAAAAAAAAAAAGAACAGGAGUCUGCUGGAUGUGCGCAAGAAAAAAGAUCACACAGAAUAUUGAUAAUAAAAUCGAUUUAUUACGGGUUGUUUGGAGCAGGCGGUUUCACUGGAGUUGGUGUGCUUCGUCAAACUGUAGUAGACGUGGUGUGUCAGUUGGUCAACGAAAAAAAAAAAUGAGAAAAAAAAAAAAAGAACAGGAGUCUGCUGGAUGUGCGCAAGAAAAAAGAUCACACAGAAUAUUGAUAAUAAAAUCGAUUUAUUACGGGUUGUUUGGAGCAGGUGGUUUCACUGGAGUUGGUGUGCUUCGUCAAACUGUAGUAGACGUGGUGUGUCAGUUGGUCAACGAAAAAAAAAAAAAUGAAAAAAAAAAAAAAAAAAAAAAAAAAGAACAGGAGUCUGCUGGAUGUGCGCAAGAAAAAAGAUCACACAGAAUAUUGAUAAUAAAAUCGAUUUAUUACGGGUUGUUUGGAGCAGGUGGUUUCACUGGAGUUGGUGUGCUUCGUCAAACUGUAGUAGACGUGGUGUGUCAGUUGGUCAACGA